rnacentral:rRNA from 1 species
UCAAGUUACAAAGGGUUGACGGCGGAUGCCUUGGCAGAUGACAGCGAUGAAGGACGUGGUAAGCUGCGAAAAGUCUCGGGGAGUUGCACGCGAACGGUGAUCCGGGAAUGUCCGAAUGCGGAAACGCGGCUGGGUGAAAGCCCAGUCAUCUCUCGACUGAAUAAAUAGGUGGAGAGAGGCGAACGUGGGGAAGUGAACCAUCUCAGUACCCACAGGAAGAGAAAACAACAGUGAUUCCGAAAGUAGCGGCGAGCGAAAUCGGAAGAGCCCAAACCUCGUACGUGUAAGCGGCAGGCGUUGCGUACGGGGGGUCGUGGGACCUACAGGUUGGUGCUGCCCACCAACACAGAGUUACCAAAUCGACGGUUAGCGGAACAGUCUGGAAAGGCUGGCGAGACAGGGUGAUAGCCCCGUAUGCGAAAGCCGAUCGAUCUCUGAGUGGAGUUCCCAAGUAUGUCGGGGCACGAGAAACCUUGACAGAAUUUGCCGCGACCAUGCGGUAAGGCUAAAUAUGUUCAUCUGACCGAUAGUGAACCAGUACCGUGAGGGAAAGGCGAAAAGAACCCCGAUGAGGGGAGUGAAAUAGAACCUGAAACCGUCAAUCUACAAGCAGUGGAACCCCUAUGGUUUACCAGGGGAACCGCGUGCCUUUUGCAUAAUGAGCCGGCUAGUUAUUUUCAGUGGCGAGGCGAAGCCGAGGAGGCACAGCCGCAGGGAAACCGAGUCUGAAUAGGGCGUAUAGUCGCUGGAAAUAGACGCGAAACGGGAUGAUCUAUCCUUGAGCAGGAUGAAGGCAGGGUGAAACCUGUUGGAGGUCCGAACCAGUAUGGGUUGAAAACCGUUUGGAUGACUUGAGGAUAGGGGUGAAAGGCCAAUCAAAUUCCGUGAUAGCUGGUUCUCCCCGAAAUAGCUUUAGGGCUAGCGUCGGAUGUUUCGUCGUGCAGGUAGAGACCUGAAUGGACUAGGGGGCACACCCGCUUACCGAAUCCAACCAAUCUUCGAAUGGCACGCCGUGAAGUCCGGCAGUCAGACAGUGGGCGAUAAGGUCCAUUGUCGAGAGGGAAAGAACCCAGAUCGCCAGCUAAGGUCCCAAAAUCUCUGCUAAGUGGAAAAGGAUGUGGAUGUGCUUAGACAGCCAGGAGGUUAGCUUAGAAGCAGCUAUCCUUUAAAGAAAGCGUAAUAGCUCACUGGUCAAGCGGGUCUGUGCCGACAAUUCAACGGGGCUCAAGCAGAGUACCGAAGCUGCGAACGUAAGUGGUAGGGGAGCAUUCCCUAGGCCUGCGAAGGUUGACCGUGAGGACAGCUGGAGGCAUGGGAAGAGACUCUGUCGGCAUAAGUAGCGUAAAGACGGGCGAGAACCCCGUCCACCGUAAGACUAAGGAUUCCAACGCAAGGUCAAUCCGCGUUGGGUUAGUCGGACCCUAAGCUGAGGCCGAGAGGCGUAGGCGAUGGAAAGCUGGUUAAUAUUCCAGCACCAUGAAUACCUCGUUUGUACGAUGCAGGGACGCAGAAAGGUAGUCGCGCAGCUCUAUGGAAUGUGCUGUGAAAUCUUUCAAGGGUGAGACUUAGGGAAGUCCGGGUCUCAUGAGCCCAAGAAUUAUGACGAAAGGCGAUGAUCCUACGCUGCCGAGAAAAGCUGCUAAGGAGAGGUAUUUGUGUCCGUACCGCAAACCGACACAGGUAGUCGAGGAGAGAAUCCUCAGGUGUUUGAGUGAAGUGUGCUGAAGGAACUCGGCAAAUUAACCCCGUAACUUCGGGAGAAGGGGUACCACGGUAGGGUUCAUAGCCCGAGGUGGUGGCACAUAAAUGUCCCAGGCGACUGUUUAACAAAAACACAGGUCUCUGCAAACUCCAAAGAGGAGGUAUAGGGGCUGACGCCUGCCCGGUGCCGGAAGGUCAAGAGGAGCGGUUAGCGCAAGCGAAGCUGCGAAUUUAAGCCCCGGUGAACGGCGGCCGUAACUAUAACGGUCCUAAGGUAGCGAAAUUCCUUGUCGGG